CGGGGCCGCCUUUUCAAAUUCGGCGAGGUGGGCUCUAAGCCGUCAAAGGGGGCGUGGGGCUUUUUUGUUAACCCUCGGCGGUCCGGGGCCGAGGAGGCGGCAGUGGCGGCAGAGCUAGGGUGCGAGCUCCGCAGGAGGUCCCUGGAGCCUAACACCCCGAAAGCCAGACCUCGCGCCCAGGCCCCCGCUACACACCUUAGAACCUUUGAAACCAAACCUUCUUCGGGUCCGCGAAUGCUUUCGGAGCGCCCAUUCUGUGUCUGCCAAUUUCACCUGGACGAUGUUGGUGAAUCCUCGCCACACUGCCCUCGAUGGUCCCAUUCAGAAGUGGAAACUGAGGCUGGAGAAAGUUAAGCCAGACAAAUGCGAGUCUUCCGAUCCUUGUGCAGGGCUCUUUGGAUCAAAGCGCUGCGUUCCCGUGAGAAACUGACCAGAGCUUCCCAGGAUUCUCCUCCUUCCCCUUUAACCUCCAGCCCCCACCUGCCCCGCUGUCUCUUCCAGGUUUUUUGCAAGAGAAAGAUUUU
rnacentral:lncRNA from 1 species